AAAAUGACUCUCAGCAACGGAUAUCUUGGCUCUUGCAACGAUGAAGAACGCAGCGAAAUGCGAUACCUAGUGUGAAUUGCAGAAUUCCGCGAAUCAUCGAG
rnacentral:rRNA from 1 species